UACGAAGGGGGCUAGCGUUGUUCGGAUUUACUGGGCGUAAAGCGCACGUAGGCGGAUUGUUAAGUCAGGGGUGAAAUCCCAGAGCUCAACUCUGGAACUGCCUUUGAUACUGGCAAUCUCGAGUCCGGAAGAGGUGAGUGGAACUCCUAGUGUAGAGGUGGAAUUCGUAGAUAUUAGGAAGAACACCGGUGGCGAAGGCGGCUCUCUGGACCGUAACUGACGCUGAGGCGCGAAAGCGUGGGGAGCAAACAGG
rnacentral:rRNA from 1 species